GUGAGGAAUAUUGCGCAAUGGAGGCAACUCUGACGCAGCCAUGCCGCGUGCAGGAAGAAGGCGCUACGCGUUGUAAACUGCUUUUAACCGGGAAGAAACCCCAGGACGUGUCCUGGGUUGACGGUACCGGAGGAAUAAGCACCGGCUAACUUCGUGCCAGCAGCCGCGGUAAUACGAAGGGUGCAAGCGUUAUCCGGAUCAAUUGGGUUUAAAGGGUGCGUAGGCGGAGCGUUAAGUCAGUGGUGAAAUCCUGCAGCUUAACUGUAGACUUGCCAUUGAUACUGGCGCUCUUGAGUGCGCUUGAAGUGGGCGGAAUGUGCCGUGUAGCGGUGAAAUGCUUAGAUAUGGCACAGAACACCAAUUGCGAAGGCAGCUCACUAAGGCGAUACUGACGCUGAGGCACGAAAGCGUGGGGAUCGAACAGGAUUAGAUACCCGAGUAGUCC
rnacentral:rRNA from 1 species